rnacentral:rRNA from 1 species
AACGCUAGCUACAGGCUUAACACAUGCAAGUCGAGGGGUAACAAGAGAAAAGCUUGCUUUUCUUGUUGACGACCGGCGCACGGGUGAGUAACGCGUAUCUAACCUGCCUAUAACUAGGGAAUAACCUUGCGAAAGUAAGACUAAUACCCUAUGAUUUCCUUUGAUGACAUCAGAUUAGGAAUAAAGAUUUAUCGGUUAUAGAUGGGGAUGCGUCUGAUUAGCUUAUUGGCGGGGUAACGGCCCACCAAGGCAACGAUCAGUAGGGGUUCUGAGAGGAAGGUCCCCCACAUUGGAACUGAGACACGGUCCAAACUCCUACGGGAGGCAGCAGUGAGGAAUAUUGGUCAAUGGGCGGAAGCCUGAACCAGCCAAGUAGCGUGCAGGAUGACGGCCCUAUGGGUUGUAAACUGCUUUUAUACAGGAAUAAAGUUAGCCACGUGUGGUUAUUUGUAGGUACUGUAUGAAUAAGGACCGGCUAAUUCCGUGCCAGCAGCCGCGGUAAUACGGAAGGUCCAGGCGUUAUCCGGAUUUAUUGGGUUUAAAGGGAGCGUAGGCCGUCUGUUAAGCGUGUUGUGAAAUGUAGAUGCUCAACAUCUGAAUUGCAGCGCGAACUGGCAGACUUGAGUGUGCGCAACGUAGGCGGAAUUCGUGGUGUAGCGGUGAAAUGCUUAGAUAUCACGAAGAACUCCGAUUG